AGUUGGAAAGGAGGUGAGAUAAGGCAGGCCAACCCUGGAAAGAGAUGUUGCCGUCCUAGAGGCCAGGCCCUCCUGCCACACCAGGAUGAUGGAUGAAGGCUGGGAGCGCUAGAGAAGCGUGGAACCCGCGUUCAGACAGACGAGACCUGCAGAGCUAAAAUAGGCCGAGAGGAAAGGAACAGAGCAAAGGUAGAAUCUGGAACCACAAGAAACUCCAGGAGAGAAGUGAAGGGAGAGCCUAGCCCAACCCUAGGGACAGCCGCUAAGAGUCUGCUCACUCAGUGAAGAGAACAGGGAGGCCUGGAAGGCUGGGUCCAGAGGAGAUGGGUGACCUUCCCGGCUGGAGGAAGGGCUGCAGAGAAGGUCCCAGGAGGAACUGAGUGGGAAGCUGGGUCAGCCCAUGCCUGUCAUGGCCUAUAAGCCCUUGACUGUCAUUUCCCCAGGUCAUUUCCAGGACAAGAAGGCCCUGGGUCUGCCUCUCACUAGCUGCCUUCCAGAACCCCAGCAGACACCCAUCUUCUUCAUUAACUGGAGGAAGGACUGCUCCCCACAGACAGCCAUCGCUGGCAGCAAGAUAGCACUGGGAAGAGAUUUUCUACCUGGGGGAGUUCCUCCCACAUGAACAAAGAACUGGAAAGG